GGUGUUUCUAUCUUUUUGCAGGGGAGAUGUGGACCAGGCAUCGAACUCCGAACCUUACACUUGUGAGGCAGGCGGCAGAACCACUGAACUAAACCCCAGGCCCUGUUGUUGGUGGUGUUGGUGGUGGUGGUGUUGGAGUCCAUGUGGGUAAAGGUCAGAACGGACCUUACACCGAGAUCCUUCCUUGGAAAUAAAGAGAUUACUGUGAAUGGUGCUGGAAGACAUCUGGAAACUUUUCCAGCCAGCUCCUCUAGUAAACUCAACACCGCGUGUGCCCUGGGUCGCCUGGCCCCAGGCCUCUCCCAUCGGCACGGCCACGCGUGCUGUGGUGAAGCUGCAGCUCUGAUGUGCACGCUCACACGGCACCUGUCCCUGUGCACCACAAGGGAGAACACACCAUCCACAACCACUGGCUCCCUCCGUCUUCAGCAGGAACCUCAGAGGGCUGCAGGCCUGGCCCACCUCCCCGACGAGCCCUGGUGAGUUUUCCUCACUGGUCUUCUCAGCUUCCCAACUCUGCACUGCUGUCCUCAUCCGACCAGUGUCUCGAUCCCCGCAUCACUGAGAAAACUCCGGCCUUCCUGCCCGUGGGGCACUUCCCACAGGAUACUUUCUGUGUGCCCAGCUCCAACGCCUCUGCCCCAUUUCGAAGGCCAGCACCCUCCCUGCCGGGCGCAGACGUCCUCGGGGCUCCAGUCUCGGUCUCCGCACCCCUCUUUCCUGCUGCAGUGGCCCGGGAACGUGCCGCAUUUCUCCCCAGUGACAAAUGAGCUCUCUGGAACCCUCCACCCUGACACCUUCCUGUCCGUCUUGUAGCAAACUUUCCCGAAGCGCUGUGCAAGCUUGCUUUUCUAACUCCCACUUCGUGCUUUCGGUCAGACCCACUGCAGUAAAACACUUGCCUUCGUGACGCC
rnacentral:lncRNA from 1 species